CAGCCUGGACGUGGGGAGAAGAGGCCAGGGAGAGCCUCAGAGGCUGGGCAGAGGUCAGGAGCCUCUGAGACCAGGGAGAUGAACGGAGGACAGUUGGAGGCUGGUCAGAAUCUGGUGGAAGGCUGAACAACUCACGUCACAGGAGUCAUGGGUUAAAACAAGGCACCCAGAAUCGAACCAAUGUCCAAGACCAGCAUGUCUAACAUCUGGGCCAGAAGAGACCAGGGAUAACUCAGCUCAUAGUGAAGGUCAAGUGGUCAUGACCUCCAGAUACACAAGAUGGCUGUACCACAUGUCGUGUUCCCUAAGAGAUGGCUGAUGCCCGUUCCGGACAAGAGGAAGGUGGUCAACAGGACAGUAGCCCGAGGUUGUGACCACAGGCCUGGCACAGAACAAGAGCCAAGUGUUGCCCCAUUUGCUGCCGCAUUGUGGGUGUGGUGGAACAGAACGUGCUUGUAAGCCCAGCACUGAGAAAGAAGAAGCAAAAGGAUCACAGCAAGUUCAAUGCCAGCCUGAUCAACAUAGCAAGUAUCAGGCCAGCAGACCCACAUAGGAGAACCCUGAAUCAAAGCAAAAUAAAACAAAAUCUCCCAAAACUAUUUAUGUGGAAUUUAUGUGAUAUUAAACAUUUUAAGGAGAGAUAAAAUAAAUGGGAGGACAUACAUAAUUUAGA